GAUGAACGCUGGCGGUAUGCUUAACACAUGCAAGUCGAACGAAAGUUUUUAACUUUAGUGGCGAACGGGUGCGUAAUACGUGAGAAUCUGCCCUUAGGAGGAGUAUAACUGCUGGAAACGGCUGCUAAAACUCCAUAUGUCGAGAGAUGAAAUAAUUUUAUUGCCUAAGGAUGAGCUCACGCCUGAUUAGCUAGUUGGUGAGGUAAUGGCUCACCAAGGCCACGAUCAGUAGCUGGUUUGAGAGAACGAUCAGCCACACUGGGACUGAGACACGGCCCAGACUCCUCCGGGAGGCAGCAGUGAGGAAUUUUCCGCAAUGGGCAAAAGCCUGACGGAGCAAUACCGCGUGAGGGAUGAAGGAUUUUGGUCUGUAAACCUCUUUUCUNCAGAAAGAAGUUCUGACGGUACUUGAGGAAAUAGCAUCGGCUAACUCCGUG
rnacentral:rRNA from 1 species